GGGAUAACAGCUGGAAACGGCUGCUAAUACCGCAUAAGCGCACGAGGAGACAUCUCCUUGUGUGAAAAACUCCGGUGGUACAGGAUGGGCCCGCGUCUGAUUAGCUGGUUGGCAGGGUAACGGCCUACCAAGGCAACGAUCAGUAGCCGGUCUGAGAGGAUGAACGGCCACAUUGGAACUGAGACACGGUCCAAACUCCUACGGGAGGCAGCAGUGGGGAAUAUUGCACAAUGGGGGAAACCCUGAUGCAGCAACGCCGCGUGAGUGAAGAAGUAUUUCGGUAUGUAAAGCUCUAUCAGCAGGGAAGAUAAUGACGGUACCUGACUAAGAAGCUCCGGCUAAAUACGUGCCAGCAGCCGCGGUAAUACGUAUGGAGCAAGCGUUAUCCGGAUUUACUGGGUGUAAAGGGUGCGUAGGUGGCAGUGCAAGUCAGAUGUGAAAGGCCGGGGCUCAACCCCGGAGCUGCAUUUGAAACUGCUCGGCUAGAGUACAGGAGAGGCAGGCGGAAUUCCUAGUGUAGCGGUGAAAUGCGUAGAUAUUAGGAGGAACACCAGUGGCGAAGGCGGCCUGCUGGACUGUUACUGACACUGAGGCACGAAAGCGUGGGGAGCAAACAGGAUUAGAUACCCUGGUAGUCCACGCCGUAA
rnacentral:rRNA from 1 species